GAUGAAGAACGUAGCGAAAUGCGAUAAGUAAUGUGAAUUGCAGAAUUCAGUGAAUCAUCGAAUCUUUGAACGCACCUUGCGCCCUUUGGCUAUUCCGAAGGGCAUGCCUGUUUGAGUAUCAUGAACACCUCAACUCUCAUGGCUUGCCAUGAUGAGCUUGGACUUUUGGGGGUCUUGCUGGCCUGUGGUCAGCUCCUCUCAAAUGAAUUAGCCUGCCAGUGUUUGGUGGCAUCACAGGUGUGAUAACUAUCUACGCUUGUGGUUUUCCACCAGGUAACCUUCAGUGAUGAAGGUUCGCUGGGGCUUAUAAACGUCUCUCCUCAGUGAGGACAGCUCUUUGAACGUUUGAUCUCAAAUCAGGUAGGACUACCCGCUGAACUUAAGCAUAUCAAUAAGCGGAGGA
rnacentral:misc_RNA from 1 species